UUCCCGGCGGCGGCAGCAGCGAGGCCGAGCCCCUGCCUCGGCGGAGCCGGGCUUUUGUCUCUCAGGCGAGCCUACCCCACUACCAGGCGGCUCGCUCCCGCCCGCCCUCCCCCCGGUCUACGUAGCCGGAGUCGUUCGCGAUCAGACCACCGCGCCCGCCGCCCCGCCCGCCGCCCCUCCCUCCAGCCUCCCGCCCCCCCUUCGCACGAACGCGCUGUUUCGCCCCGACAGCAGCAGCCGGCGCCCGCUGGGGCCGGGACGGCUCUGCCUGUACCCCGCCGCCGUCAAUUAGGGCGUCUCGGCCCUGGGGGCCAUCGCGCUGCGCCAGCUGCGCCCGCCGCGUGUCCUCGGCCACCUGGGCACCGGCCUCCCCCGCCGCGGCGGGCGGGAGCUGCUGGCUGCGCUCCGGCCCAGGCUCGGCCUGAGGGGGAGCCGCGGGCGCGCCGGGGAGCUUCAGCCAGCGCCCUCCUGAAGAACGGUGAUCUUCAGUGCAGAGGCUGGAUAAGUAAGGUGUCUGUGAAAGGGAAUGAAGAAAAAGCAUUUGUAAGAAAUGGUAAAAGUCUUGUGUGAAACGAAAGGUACUGAAGAUUUACCUCAACAGCCAUGACUCCAUAUUGGUGAAUGAGUGUUUGAAAAACCACUGGCAACAGUGAAAAGUUCAGCUGUAGAUACACGUGUUCCUGUGAAGGUACAAAGAAACCAAGUCCUAGUUUAUCGACAGAAAGGAAGGUAGUGUUGGCCAGCACUUCGUGACAGAGCACAACUGGCCACGUGUUGUUGCGAUGGUCCUCACUGCUCCGAACAGCCCUGGCAAACGCAGCAGUCAUUCCCUGGUGGUACAAACACUAUUAGUUCGGGUACUGAGACAGCCGGAGGUGGCUGACUUCCUGGAGGAAGGUAUACAGCAUUAAAUGGAUAACUGUGAAAGGUGUGUGACAUUGGGGUGAAAGCUUUUGUUAUCCCCCCACUUCAGUUUUGUUGAAAGGACGGGUGAAGUACCUGACACACUGCUUCUCUCACC